AUGACCAAGAUAUCCUUAUGGCUGGAUGGUAGCUCUCUGGUCGUUCUUGAGCCCCCUUGAUGGACCAUGUCUGCAAAUGCUUUGACGGAAUUUCUAAAGGCCAUUGACACCAGAGCUGGAAUUAUCCUCCUGCCAAGACUAUUCCAGGAGAAGGCCGAGAACCUGAUUUUAUGGGAGAGGGCGAGCCAAACACCCCUUACCCAACUAUCAGCAUGAAGGCACAGGACUGGAGAGCUACGAUUGCCGGGAAUGCUGAAAGUAUCGUUGUAGUUGACAGGCUUCGAGUGUGUUCCCUGAUUGGUGUUGAAGAGGCAUUCAUCGCGACAUUUUGUAUGUAUUUUGUUUACAACAUGGACCAACAGAACCUUUACACAAAUGGAUUAAGCACAUUGGACUUUUACAUGCCCAUGAACCUGAUUUCAGCAUCACAUGUGGACUGAAACUGUGAAUCGUCUUUUUCAAAGUACCAUUCCUUCAGCGUGUUUACAGGCAACACACAAGCAGCCUUUUCCUUUAUUUUCAGAAUUCAUGCUGCCCGUUCACUAAUGUCACCU